rnacentral:lncRNA from 1 species
CACAGAAGGUACACAAUAAAUGGCAGUGAAUUAAAUGGACAAAACAGAUUGCUGUGGAACGGUUUGUGAUUGCUAUUUUGAAAACCUGGUCAUAUAUUUUUAGCCUGCAAAACCUCUGCUUUGACACAUUUCCUCAUGGGGACACACUGCAGCUGCUGAAAGAAGGGAAGUCCCAGCACUGCUUUCUCACCAUGGAACAGCAGGAGAGGAAAGCCUUUUGAAUUCUAGCCAUGAUAACCCUAAAGUUUACAUGGCCACAGACUCCAGCUUUGCCAGGAAAGUUUAGAAUAAAUCCCCUUCCACCCCUGCCCCUGGUGCCAAACUUGGAAGAAUGACUUCAUGGAUGGAAAUCUAUGCAAAUGUCUCUCAUAUUUGGAAUUGAGCUUCUACGAAGGCCAGUGCCAUUUUUCUCCUGCUGUUUACUGCCCAUCUCCAUGGAAAACAAGACACAUUCCCAGAAGUGAAAGUGCAGAUUCAAAGAACCUAAGGAUUGACAAACAAGCUCCAGUGACACUGUUUUAUAUUGCCUAUCUACUUAGAAACCAUACCUGCCAAAGAACACAACUGCAUUCACUGAGUGUCACGAACUUAACUCAUAUCACAGGAAGAGAGACUAAAGUCUGUCAACACAUCUGGACAGGGUUUUCUCACAAUUAUUUUCUCUGCUGGCCCAAUAGACUUUGUACCAGGCUGUUGUGUGUUCUCCAAACCCUUUGAAUCCCCCUAAAAAUAAUUUACUAGCCCUCAAAUUGUCACAUUUUAUGCAUCUCUCUUUCCCCAAUGAAUAAUGGUAUAUAACAUCUGUACACCAUUUGGUUAUUGGGAAAUCAUUCUCCUCUAAUUCCUCGAUGCUAUGCUAAAAUACAAUUUCGUAUGUCUUUUCUGCCACU